rnacentral:rRNA from 1 species
CUCGUAGGCGGCUCGUCGCGUCCGGUGUGAAAGUCCAUCGCUUAACGGUGGAUCUGCGCCGGGUACGGGCGGGCUGGAGUGCGGUAGGGGAGACUGGAAUUCCCGGUGUAACGGUGAAAUGCGUAGAUAUUAGGAGGAACACCAGUUGCGAAGGCGGCUCUCUGGACUGUAACUGACACUGAGGCACGAAAGCGUGGGGAGCAAACA